rnacentral:rRNA from 2 species
GGUUGACCUCGGAUCAGGUAGGGAUACCCGCUGAACUUAAGCAUACAAU